rnacentral:lncRNA from 1 species
CGAGAAACAAGGCUUAGCCAUCCUUGGACCAGCCUGAGGGGAGAAGAGGGGAGGGUCUGGCCGAGACCUGGAGGCCCGCCCGGUUACCUGAGGCGACGGGCGGGGCCCGCAUCGCUGGGGUGGGCGCCGCCGCCGGCCGCACUCGGCCUUCCGCCUCACGCCACCCGCGCCAUAGGACCGGCGCUUUCGCUGCCCUGGCCGGCUGUCCUCAGGCGGGCGUUCUGUCCACCAGUCAGCGACUCUCCCACGGCGCCCGGGGACGACGAAGGCCAGUCGGGCCGGCCGGCUGGGAUCUGCUCAGGCAACUUCCGACUGCCAGGGGCGGCAGCGUCAAAUAACUCCCCGAGCCGACUGGGCCACCGCGCGUGCGCAGCGCGCCUGAUCAGAGACUUGUGCAGGUCCCAGACGGCGGCGUCAAAUAAUUCCCAAGACACGGAGCCGGAAGCUGCGCGUGCGCAGCUAUCCCAGAUCGCCGCGCGCGGGACAUAGUCCCUCCUUCUUUUCCGGAUCAAGAAGAGCAGGAGUGGAGUGACGGAUACUCGUAUCUCAUCGCAAUACAGGCGUGGAGGCGGUCCACCUGCGUCCGUACGACUCAGUCGGAACUCUGCCUGUUUUUGAUGCGAACGAAUUGAGCAGAACUUGCUUGGUGUAGAUAAUGGUUGAGAAGACCCACUUCUAUUUCUCCUGAACCUAAUAUAAUACUGACACAGCGUUGGUGGUCAGUGACCAUUUAUUGGAUGGAUAGGCUAAAGUCCUGGUGGAGUGCCCAAGACCAGAACACUGGGGAGAAACCCUCUGAACUCCUGUCCACACUCCUGUCCACAGUGCAGACCACACGGGGACCUCAUGCACCUUGUGGGGGGCAAAGCUCCAGAUCUCCAAGGAACAGGACUCACCUGGGCCAGCUGUCUCUUGACAGGAUGGGGACACCUCUCAGGGACCCCUGUGCACCGUGCUGCUUCCUCUGCAACGAUCAAGAAGCCCUGGAUGAGCAACCUGGAUGCCACCCGGUCACCACGUGUCCUGGAACCCAGAUGGAUGCCACCCGGUCACCACGUGUCCUGGAACCCAGGCAGAGCACCUGGGUUCUCGGAGACACUGGCUGCUUCACAAAUGUGGGCUGUGUUCCCAACCCACGAGCCACACCUUUUAUUCCCAGGACAGAAGUUCAUUACUCCACAUAG